ACACAUGCAAGUCGAACGGCAGCACGGGAGCAAUCCUGGUGGCGAGUGGCGAACGGGUGAGUAAUACAUCGGAACGUGCCCAAUCGUGGGGGAUAACGCAGCGAAAGCUGUGCUAAUACCGCAUGAGAUCUACGGAUGAAAGCAGGGGACCGCAAGGCCUUGCGCGAAUGGAGCGGCCGAUGGCAGAUUAGGUAGUUGGUGAGGUAAAGGCUCACCAAGCCUGCGAUCUGUAGCUGGUCUGAGAGGACGACCAGCCACACUGGGACUGAGACACGGCCCAGACUCCUACGGGAGGCAGCAGUGGGGAAUUUUGGACAAUGGGCGCAAGCCUGAUCCAGCCAUGCCGCGUGCAGGAUGAAGGCCUUCGGGUUGUAAACUGCUUUUGUACGGAACGAAAAGGCUUUCUCUAAUAAAGAGGGCUCAUGACGGUACCGUAAGAAUAAGCACCGGCUAACUACGUGCCAGCAGCCGCGGUAAUACGUAGGGUGCAAGCGUUAAUCGGAAUUACUGGGCGUAAAGCGUGCGCAGGCGGUGAUGUAAGACAGUUGUGAAAUCCCCGGGCUCAACCUGGGAACUGCAUCUGUGACUGCAUCGCUGGAGUGCGGCAGAGGGGGAUGGAAUUCCGCGUGUAGCAGUGAAAUGCGUAGAUACGCGGAGGAACACCGAUGGCGAAGGCAAUCCCCUGGGCCUGCACUGACGCUCAUGCACGAAAGCGUGGGGAGCAAACAGGAUUAGAUACCCUGGUAGUCCACGCCCUAAACGAUGUCAACUGGUUGUUGGGUCUUCACUGACUCAGUAACGAAGCUAACGCGUGAAGUUGACCGCCUGGGGAGUACGGCCGCAAGGUUGAA
rnacentral:rRNA from 1 species